AGUGAACGCUGGCGGUAGGCCUAACACAUGCAAGUCGAACGGCAGCACAGUAAGAGCUUGCUCUUACGGGUGGCGAGUGGCGGACGGGUGAGGAAUACAUCGGAAUCUACUUUUUCGUGGGGGAUAACGUAGGGAAACUUACGCUAAUACCGCAUACGACCUACGGGUGAAAGCAGGGGAUCUUCGGACCUUGCGCGAUUGAAUGAGCCGAUGUCGGAUUAGCUAGUUGGCGGGGUAAAGGCCCACCAAGGCGACGAUCCGUAGCUGGUCUGAGAGGAUGAUCAGCCACACUGGAACUGAGACACGGCCCAGACUCCUACGGGAGGCAGCAGUGGGGAAUAUUGGACAAUGGGCGCAAGCCUGAUCCAGCCAUACCGCGUGGGUGAAGAAGGCCUUCGGGUUGUAAAGCCCUUUUGUUGGGAAAGAAAAGCAGCAGGUUAAUACCCCGCUGUUCUGACGGUACCCAAAGAAUAAGCACCGGCUAACUUCG
rnacentral:rRNA from 1 species